GGAAUAUUGGACAAUGGACGAAAGUCUGAUCCAGCGACGCCGCGUGCGGGAAGAAGGCCUUCGGGUUGUAAACCGCUUUUGUCAGGGAAGAAACGCUUUGAGUUAAUACCUCAAGGUAAUGACGGUACCUGAAGAAUAAGCACCGGCUAACUACGUGCCAGCAGCCGCGGUAAGACGUAGGGUGCAAGCGUUAAUCGGAAUUACUGGGCGUAAAGCGUGCGCAGGCGGUGAUGUAAGACAGAUGUGAAAUCCCCGGGCUCAACCUGGGAACUGCAUUUGUGACUGCAUCGCUGGAGUGCGGCAGAGGGGGAUGGAAUUCCGCGUGUAGCAGUGAAAUGCGUAGAUAUGCGGAGGAACACCGAUGGCGAAGGCAAUCCCCUGGGCCUGCACUGACGCUCAUGCACGAAAGCGUGGGGAGCAAAC
rnacentral:rRNA from 1 species